rnacentral:lncRNA from 1 species
AUAUAGUUGUAUCUGAUAUAAAAAAAGAAUACAAUGCCACAGCUUGGAGAUUUUUGGUGCUACAGAAACUGUUUUCAUUUCUGCUCUUGUUCACUCUACAUGCAUUAUCUUUGGGGAAACUUCAGGCAAAGUGGAGACCAACACAUACAAGAGGACUGGAAAGAGCAGAUCUAAGUUGAAUAUUUUUAAACAGGCAACCUUUUUUAUUUUUUUUUUUUUUCCAGUUUUUCUCUUCUCUGGGGAACGGACAAAAAAAUCUGUUCUAAAGAAGGCAAUGAUGCAUUGUGGUAGGAAUCUUGAGUAACUGGAUGUACAGUAAUUUGAAGAUGAGGCUCUCUAGAACUGCCUUUAAUGUGCCUUUUAGUCAAUUGAGAAAGAUAAGGCUAAUCAAUUAGUUUGGAUUAUAGCAAGUGGCAAUUUUAGAAAGCUGUCUUCAGAAUGAAGAUCUCCAAAAGGAUGAUUUUAUUCUCUUCAUUGGAUGGCAACCAGUAUUAUGGUUCUAUAAUGCCUGUCUUGCUCUACAGAACUAAACUAAGACACACUGAAAAAGCCACAUACUUUACCAAAACGGUGAAAUUCCUUUUUUCCUUGGUAUAUAUUUGUUUUAGAAACAAGUUACACAGUGAAACUCUUCUCUGUUGUUAAAAAUUAAGCAUUUUCCCACCAUCCCCCUGCUUUCCAUUUUCAGUUCUUUAAGAAAAACAAGUUUAAUACUGGUAGGUUUCUUUUUGAAGUUCUGUGUUUGUGAUAUAGCUUGGACUGCAGUGCAGGUAAGAAGACGCUAUAGUCGGUUGAAGUCCUGGAGCCCAAGCUCACUUGAAAAUAAAACUUAAACUAGGGUUCACAACUUGGUCCAUGCAAAGCAUUGUUAAUGUUGGAGGUUUGGAGGACAGCCUUUUGAAUCGAUCUUUGGACCAAAGUUCUCUGGGUCUGAAUUGCAUCGUUCAAAACCCUUCUCUUCUGCCAACUGGAGGGAACAGGCUAGGCAGUUUCAAGAAAAAUGUGUUUUAUCACAAGCUCAGUAUUAAAACAUUACCUGGGCUGAUUUAUUUCAAACCUAUGUGGAAAGUGGUUUAGAGAGGUUGGCUGGCGUUGCCAUUGUUAACCAUUCAUUGUGACUGUCCCUUACGUAGCUGCGGAAGUGUCUUUCCGGAAAUAUGCAACACAGUGUGAUUAGUUUGUAAUUAGAGAAAACAGACUACUGCAGAGAUACUGAGCUACCUCAGCUUUUUGUAUUUUAGUUACCAACAGUGUUUAUGGAGGACUGUAAUCACUCUGCUCCCAUUUACAAGCUGAAGCUAAGGUAUUUGUCUCCACCUCUAUGGCUAAUAGUAAUAUAGUGCUGCAGAGAAACAAAACAUGGGCCUUGGGCUACUGCAGUAAUCCAAAGUGCUUUGUCCAUUCUGGUUAAACAUAAUUGUUAGAUCUUUUUCUCCCCAGAAUGCCACUGUUUGUCUUUAUAGCUAAUGGCAGAGAAAGGUUUUAAGCCUUCAUGUACAUCUAGUUACACCUUCUAAAUGCAACCCAUGCAGAAACACUGUAUUUUUCAGGUGGGAAAGUGCGAUUAAAACCAACAAAAACAAGCAGAAAACACAUUUUAAAUGAGAUUCUUUGAUCUCAGAUUUGAUUAUGGGAUUUUUUUUCCACGUUUCAUUUAGUAUUUAUUAGCAUCAUACCUGUUUGAGAUAUUUUUGUGUCUGGUACAUUAACAGCAUUUUGUAUUUUGAUGGAAAUUGUUACAAACUUUAAGAUUUGAUUAAAUAAAAUGUAGCAGAUCUUUUGUAGCAAGUUUCUGAUAAAAGGGGUUUUUGCAAGUCUCAGGUUCUUGCUGCAGAAUUUUUUAAAAAUAUUUAUUCCAGUUUCACUUACUCAAAGAAGUUUUUGUUCAAGUAACAGCAGCACUUGUGGAAGAUAAAACCGCAUACGUUUUUAAGAUGAUAAAUUUAUAUGAAUUUAAAAAGUUGAAAAUUUUUGUCACCAGUGAGUGUAAAAAGCAAGUUUAAGGCUAAUGCCUAGCAUUAAAAAUGGUUCUAAAAGGUCAGGUUUCUAAAGGAAAAUUUUUACUGUCAGUUGUUGAUUGGGAAAAAAUUGUGAUGAGACAACUUUACUAAUGGAGGAGCUGCCAUGUUGUUUUAGAGAAGAGUAGCUGAUAUCAGAUGUUCUACUGGACAGCUUACCUAAAAUGAUAUGCUCGCCUUCUUAGCCCAAAUAACCACACUUCAGUUCUUGUUUUCCUUUACAGAUGUCUGGUGGUUAUAGAGUUAAACAGCUGUUAAACUAUCCAUGUGGUCUAAACUUGUUUACUCUUUGUAUGUUUUUAAUUUUUUUUUGCCACAUAGCACUGGCAAGAGUUUGUACAAAUUGACCUCUCUUCCUUGUUUCUUGUUGUGAAAAUUGCAAAUAAACUCCUGUGUGAGUCCUUGUGCUGGGGUCAGUGAAAUGUGGCCAGCCAGAAGGAAGGAGGCUUCUCUGGGGGGCUGACGGGGCUGUCUUGGAGAUAAUAGAAUUGCUCUUGGGUGAAGUUGAUGGCUAUGGAGUUAAUUGUAUUUGCAAGCUUGAAUCUCACCUGUGAUUAAUUUUUUUGUUUUGUUUUGUGUCCUCUGUAUUGUUACUUGAUUUUCUCAUAUGCCAAUGUAUUUAUAGGAUUACUGUUUUUUUGUAAUACCUUGUCUUCCUUUUUUUUGGUUUGUUGGUUUUAUUUUUCCAUUAAGAUGAUGGGUCAGCUCGGGUUUAACCUUUACCUGAAGGCAUGUCCUGCAGCUGAUAGUCAUUUAUUUUGUUUUUAUUUUAUUUUGUAAUCACAACUUAAGCUUGAAUUUGGGCUUGUACUUGCAUCUUUUGUAUCUUGUACAUUGGGUUAUUUAGACAUUGGGGAGUCCUGUUUGGUUUCAUUAACGUGUGUCUACUUUGUGGAUUAAGUAGACUUCCUUCAUCAACUAUGGUAUAUUUUGGAUUCUAUAGUUUAUUCGGAACUGUGUUUAAAUCGAUGUUUUGCAUUUUGACUUCAUUUUAUGUUAGUUUGAAGUAAGUUAUUUAAUUUUUUUGAACUUCUGGAAAUUUUGAACAUUUUACUGUAAUUUGUAAUAUAACUGCUGUGAAAUACUUGAAUAAAGAUGACAAGAAAACACAA